rnacentral:rRNA from 2 species
GUCGAACGAGUUCUGAUUAUUGAAAGGUGCUUGCAUCUUGAUUUAAUUUUGAACGAGUGGCGGACGGGUGAGUAACACGUGGGUAACCUGCCCUUAAGUGGGGGAUAACAUUUGGAAACAGAUGCUAAUACCGCAUAAAUCCAAGAACCGCAUGGUUCUUGGCUGAAAGAUGGCGUAAGCUAUCGCUUUUGGAUGGACCCGCGGCGUAUUAGCUAGUUGGUGAGGUAACGGCUCACCAAGGCAAUGAUACGUAGCCGAACUGAGAGGUUGAUCGGCCACAUUGGGACUGAGACACGGCCCAAACUCCUACGGGAGGCAGCAGUAGGGAAUCUUCCACAAUGGACGCAAGUCUGAUGGAGCAACGCCGCGUGAGUGAAGAAGGCUUUCGGGUCGUAAAACUCUGUUGUUGGAGAAGAAUGGUCGGCAGAGUAACUGUUGUCGGCGUGACGGUAUCCAACCAGAAAGCCACGGCUAACUACGUGCCAGCAGCCGCGGUAAUACGUAGGUGGCAAGCGUUAUCCGGAUUUAUUGGGCGUAAAGCGAGCGCAGGCGGUUUUUUAAGUCUGAUGUGAAAGCCCUCGGCUUAACCGAGGAAGUGCAUCGGAAACUGGGAAACUUGAGUGCAGAAGAGGACAGUGGAACUCCAUGUGUAGCGGUGAAAUGCGUAGAUAUAUGGAAGAACACCAGUGGCGAAGGCGGCUGUCUGGUCUGUAACUGACGCUGAGGCUCGAAAGCAUGGGUAGCGAACAGGAUUAGAUACCCUGGUAGUC